rnacentral:rRNA from 1 species
UAGAGUUUGAUCAUGGCUCAGAUUGAACGCUGGCGGCAGGCCUAACACAUGCAAGUCGAGCGGUAACAUUUCUAGCUUGCUAGAAGAUGACGAGCGGCGGACGGGUGAGUAACGCGUAGGAAUCUACCUAGUAGUGGGGGAUAAGCCAGAGAAAUUUGGUCUAAUACCGCAUACGUCCUAAGGGAGAAAGGAGGGGAUCUUCGGACCUUUCGCUAUUAGAUGAGCCUGCGUAAGAUUAGCUAGUUGGUGGGGUAAGAGCUCACCAAGGCGACGAUCUUUAGCUGGUCUGAGAGGAUGAUCAGCCACACUGGGACUGAGACACGGCCCAGACUCCUACGGGAGGCAGCAGUGGGGAAUAUUGGACAAUGGGGGCAACCCUGAUCCAGCCAUGCCGCGUGUGUGAAGAAGGCCUUCGGGUUGUAAAGCACUUUCAGAGGUGAGGAAAGGUGAGUAGUUAAUACCUGCUUACUGUGACGUUAACCUCAGAAGAAGGACCGGCUAACUCCGUGCCAGCAGCCGCGGUAAUACGGAGGGUCCGAGCGUUAAUCGGAAUUACUGGGCGUAAAGCGCGCGUAGGUGGUUUCGUCAGUCAGAUGUGA